AAAUCUUGAACAUUAGAUUUUAGACCUCAAGAAGAAACAAGAAAACCAGGUGCAGCUACUAAAGCAAAAGGGGAAAGCGAAGAAACUGCAAAAAAAUUGCUAGCUGAAAUACAGUACAUCAGGGCUCAAAAGGCACUUGUGUUUAAUUUUUUGAACUACUUAAUUAUUGAAAUUUUUACUUUGUAUCUGAUAUUGGAUUUAUGAAAACUGUAGGUCUAAUUGCAGCAUAAAAUGAAGCAAGAGGCAGAACAAUUUCGACAAUGGAAGGCUUCUCGAGAAAAGGAGUUACUUCAGGUAGCUAUUGCUUGUAGCUUUUGUAAAGCGAUCUAUAUUUAUGACCAGGACAUACAUGUUCGUACCUUAUGAUCGCUUUGGCAUCCUACCUCGUUAAACUUCAUGCAAAAAUGUAGUUAAUGGAAACCAAAGUCCUAUAAUAGUUGUUACGAGGGAUGUUAGGUGAAUUUCCUUGUUGGAGGAGGACUUCUGGUAAAAAAGUUCACAAAUGUUAUAGAUACAAUUAUGUAUGAUCUAAGAGAAGGAAGUUUAAGAGGGCUAGAGGAAGGAGGAACAGCAAAGGAGUUAGGAUUUAAGUUGUAU